rnacentral:rRNA from 1 species
GACGUAGGGCGCGAGCGUUGUCCGGAUUUAUUGGGCGUAAAGAGCGUGUAGGCGGCCUUACAGGUCAGCUGUGAAAACUCGAGGCUCAACCUCGAGACGUCGGUUGAAACCGUAAGGCUAGAGUCCGGAAGAGGAGAGUGGAAUUCCCGGUGUAGCGGUGAAAUGCGCAGAUAUCGGGAAGAACACCCGUGGCGAAGGCGGCUCUCCGGGACGGUACUGACGCUGAGACGCGAAAGCGUGGGGAGCGAACAGG